rnacentral:sRNA from 1 species
CCCUGGCAGGCUGAGGUACAAUCUGAACUACUCUUUUCAAUGCAGAUGGUAUGGUGUAUGCUCUGGGGGGAAUGGGCCCUGACACGGCCCCCCAGGCCCAGGUACGUGUGUAUGAGCCCCGUCGGGACUGCUGGCUUUCGCUACCCUCCAUGCCCACACCCUGCUAUGGGGCCUCCACCUUCCUGCACGGGAACAAGAUCUAUGUCCUGGGGGGCCGCCAGGGCAAGCUCCCGGUGACUGCUUUUGAAGCCUUUGAUCUGGAGGCCCGUACAUGGACCCGGCAUCCAAGCCUACCCAGCCGUCGGGCCUUUGCUGGCUGCGCCAUGGCUGAAGGCAGCGUCUUUAGCCUGGGUGGCCUGCAGCAGCCUGGGCCCCACAACUUCUACUCUCGCCCACAUUUUGUCAACACUGUGGAGAUGUUUGACCUGGAGCAUGGUGAGCAGUGGCUGUUCUGGGCUGUCCUCCCGCUCUCUGUGGGAUGGAGGGGCAUAGUGCGUACAUGACUAGAUCUGACCUCCCCUCUCCUGCAGGGUCCUGGACCAAACUGCCCCGCAGCCUGCGCAUGAGGGAUAAGAGGGCAGACUUUGUGGUUGGGUCCCUUGGGGGCCACAUUGUGGCCAUUGGGGGCCUUGGUAAGUCUCUAUGGGGCUGGGGA